UCCUACGGGAGGCAGCAGUGGGGAAUCUUGCGCAAUGGCCGAAAGGCUGACGCAGCGACGCCGCGUGUGGGAGGACGCCUUUCGGGGUGUAAACCACUGUUGCCCGGGACGAACACGGCUAUUCGUAGCCGCUGACGGUACCGGGUGAGGAAGCACCGGCUAACUCCGUGCCAGCAGCCGCGGUAAUACGGAGGGUGCGAGCGUUGUCCGGAAUCAUUGGGCGUAAAGGGCGCGUAGGUGGCCCGGUCAGCGUGCGGUGAAAGCUCGGGGCUCAACCCCGAGUCGGCCGUGCGAACUGCUGGGCUCGAGCACUGUAGAGGCAGGCGGAAUUCCGGGUGUAGCGGUGGAAUGCGUAGAGAUCCGGAAGAACACCGGUGGCGAAGGCGGCCUGCUGGGCAGUAGCUGACACUGAGGCGCGACAGCGUGGGGAGCAAACAGGAUUAGAUACCCUGGUAGG
rnacentral:rRNA from 1 species